rnacentral:lncRNA from 10 species
CUGCUGCUAUUGGCUGCCACAUUACCUGCUUGGUUAUCUGCAAAUGACAAGACCCUUGUUUCUACAUCCUUCCUGCAGUGUUCGAUGUAUUGGACCAUCUUCAUCUCUACUGGCUUACAAGUCUUCCUGCUAAGAAUGGACUGGCUGGCUCUGUGGCGUUGCUUGGCAGAACAGUCGCGACAGUGGUGACAGGCGGGGCUGCCAGGGCCUCAUGGUGACUCUCGCUCACCAUUUUAGGUUCAGGUGAAGCUGUGAGGGGAGGGAAGCAAAGACAGAACAAUUCAAAAUGGCUUAACUGCUCCCACAUCAAAGGUAUCCCAGAGAUGAAACAACAUCAGAGGUGGCACCUGCUCACUGGGUAAAUAGUCCAUCAUUAGCAUAUUGCUUUGUGUUGGUAAAUGAAAUAUUUAUGGAACCACAGCGAGUGAAGAGUUCUUCCCCAGAAGGUAAGACCAGACAUAGUUACUGAAUAGCAUUCUAUUCCAGCAAUACUAUGUAUACUGUCAAAUCUAUUAGUUAUUUAUACAGCCAAUUAUUUGCUGUGUAGAUUUAACUUU